GGCACUCACUACUGUAAGUCGCUCUGGAUAAGAGCAUCUGCUAAAUGACUAAAA
rfam:Salmo salar isolate Sally breed double haploid chromosome ssa15, whole genome shotgun sequence.